GCUAGUUUAGCUUAGAGGUUAGAGGAUCGCAUUUGUAAUGCGAAGAUCAUUGGUUUGAAUCCGAUAACUGGCU
rfam:Vigna radiata var. radiata cultivar VC1973A scaffold_7, whole genome shotgun sequence